rnacentral:lncRNA from 1 species
AGACUGAGGGGCUUACCUAACAGACUGAUUUUCUCACGGUUCCAGAGCCUGGAUGUUCUAGAUGGAGUUUUUGCUGUUGUUACCCAGACUGGAGUGCAAUGGCACGAUCUCAGCUCACCUCAACUUCCGCUUCCCGGGUUCAAGUGAUUCUCCUGCCUCAGCCUCCUGAGCAGCUGAGACUACAGCCUCCCUCUGCUGCCUCUGCCUGCCUGCUGCCUCUUGUCUAGCUGCUGUCAGGAGCUGACGGCCACCAGGGCUGGAAUCCUGUGACCCCUCUGUGCCCAGGUAAGGAGGCAGUGGCCCAGGGGCUGAGCAGCCUAAUACCCUCUCUGCACCCACAGAAGGCAAAGUUUUACUAGGUGAGAGGGCUGUUACUAGCUAGGAUGGCAGAAGGUUGAGUUUACCAAAGAUUGGAGGGGACUUGAUACCCAGAGGAGGCACGGACCAAGUUUUCUUAGGCGUUAACUCAAUGCUAGGUACCAGGGUAAACCACUCAACUGUCUG